rnacentral:tRNA from 1 species
GCCACUGUGGCUCAUUUGGUUGGAGCGUCAAUCUGUACAUUGAAGGCCAUGGAUUCGAUUCCCAGUCAGGGCA